rnacentral:rRNA from 1 species
CCUACGGGAGGCAGCAGUGAGGAAUAUUGGUCAAUGGGAGAGAUCCUGAACCAGCCAAGCCGCGUGAGGGAAGACGGCCCUAUGGGUUGUAAACCUCUUUUGUCGGAGAACAAAACCCGGGAGGUGUCCCGUACUGCGUGUAUCCGAAGAAAAAGCAUCGGCUAACUCCGUGCCAGCAGCCGCGGGAAUACGGAGGAUGCGAGCGUUAUCCGGAUUUAUUGGGUUUAAAGGGUGCGUAGGCGGUCCGUUAAGUCAGCGGUAAAAUUGCGGGGCUCAACCCCGUCGAGCCGUUGAAACUGGCAGACUUGAGUUGGCGAGAGGUACGCGGAAUGCGCGGUGUAGCGGUGAAAUGCAUAGAUAUCGCGCAGAACUCCGAUUGCGAAGGCAGCGUACCGGCGCCAGACUGACGCUGAGGCACGAAAGCGUGGGGAUCGAACAGGAUUAGAUACCCUUGUAGUC